CGCCAAUCUGCGCACGGCAACUUGGAGGCUCAAACCACCAACGAUCGCAAUGCUGCGUCGCGAGCCAGGCCGGUCUCCGCGGUAACCGGUUUGCCGCUGAGGACUCUGGGAGUUGUAGUUGGGAGGAAGCCGGCUGCGCUCCAGGACGGCCGAGCCGCUGCUCGUUAGCGUUGGCCUCUGCAGGCCACAGGCGGGCUCCGCGGACAGGGCGAGCAGUCCGACUCGCCCUUCAGACGAUUUAAGCUCCUUGCAGAGGAACUGCAUUGGGUCAUUUGGAUUCUCCACAGCACCUCUGAGCACGACACACCCUGGGACGAGGCUGUCUCCACAGCUGUGGACACGGCAGACCAAGCAGAUGCUUCAGGGCAUUUGCCUUUGACGAAGAUGCAGCCUGCCUCUUUCUGGGAUGCUUGUCCCUCAUUCUCUUCAAGGUCACACAAGGAGAAAGGUGACCUUGUUCUUACUGUCACCCCUUUCUCCCCAGCCCCCACCCCCGGCAGGCCAGCCAGAGUAGCCCUGAAGCCCUAGAAG
rnacentral:lncRNA from 1 species